CGAGCCGACCGGGCGGCCGCGGUACCGGCCACCGCCUUCAUAACGGUGGCGGGCUGAGGAACGUCCGGGCUCCACAGAGCAGGGCGGUGGCUAACGGCCACCCGGGGUGACCCGCGGGACAGUGCCACAGAGAGCAGACCGCCCAUCGGAAACCGGUGGGUAAGGGUGAAAGGGUGGGGUAAGAGCCCACCAGCGCGGCGGGUGACCGUCGCGGCUCGGUAAACCCCGCCCGGAGCAAGACCGCACAGCUGACGCUUGAAGGCUGCUCGCCCGAGUCAGCGGGUAGGUCGCAUGAGGCCGCUGGCAACAGUGGUCCAAGAUGAAUGGUCGCCACCGCCCAGGCCGGCAACGGCGGGCGGCAACAGAACCCGGCGUACAGGUCGGCUCGUCCG
rnacentral:RNase_P_RNA from 1 species